CCGAAUGCGACUGGUUGCGCAUUUUGUGCAUGAUUUAUUUCGGUAUUCGGAAAAUAGUGUUGGCGGGUUCGAUCCCCGACGGGGAUCGAGUUGGCCGCGGCCCGGCCCGACUGGGAGUGGGCCGGCCAUGGGUCGGCUGGCCAUUAACCAGCAUUAGGAAGGACGCCGUUCGAGGAAAAAAGGCUCGGCCGGGACUCACGAUCGUAUAAUCGACCAAGCAAAAAAAAAGU
rnacentral:lncRNA from 1 species